CUGGUCGCCCAGUCCGUGCGUACUGCGUUGCCAUUCCUCAGGCGUCGAGAGUUGAAGCGGUCGAGUUUUAACCAAAAAAAUAAAGCGUGUUCCGCCCAGAGUGCAUCUGAUUUCUCCCCUGCCCCGCCCCGAUACUUGACCGUGGAAAUAGUUCCCUUCAGAUAUAUAUAUAUAUAUGUCUAGUUCUCUUCAGAGAUACAUUUAUAUAUAUAUAUAUAUAAGAGCCAUUCAUAAACAUAUUGCCAGAAAUAAAUAGGCACCCUUUAUCCAUUCAACUGUUUCGCUUUAGAUUUAUCGUUGUUAUUAAUUUGUUAUCAUUAUUAUUAUUGUUGCUGUUAAUAUUGUUGCUGCGUAACACGCAGUGGUGGGUAAUGAUGAUAUAUGCUACACUCUGAAGGAGAGAGUGAGAAAGCGAAAGAUGUACCUUUACACCUUAGAAGACGCUGCAUCGAGUUGACCUAGCGUGUACAAAAGCGAUCUGCAGCGCGACAGCGAACGACACGACCGCAAAUGUAAUCACGAAUACAGUGGCGCAAUUUACAGAAGAGGUUAGAGGAAACGAAAGAAAAAAAAAAGAAGAGAAAUGUGAAUACAAAUGAAGAAAAGCAUACGAUACGGCGAACACCUUUACACCGAGAGAGAAUAAUAAAAUGUGUCACAAGUCCGGAGAGUGGCCGGUGUCCGAUGAAUACGAAAUUCGAAGUGUGAGCAUUAAAUGCGAGUAGUGCGUUCACACGAAUACCAGUGCCGCAUUUCCACGAGAAAUAGUGUGAACGCAGCAGUCGCCUCUUUGGCUUAUGCUGUAAACUUCACAUUGAUCGUUAAUCACCCACUUUCCGCACUUGUAACGCAGCAUGAUUCAGAGUGUAUAGAAACCGAUACGAUAGAGGAAAAAGAGAGAAACUACAAUUAGAUGAAGCAACGGAUAAGCGUGGAUAUAGGAGAGGAAAUAGUCAAGGAAAUGCCUCAUUGACCAUAUAACGGUUGCCGAUGCGAUGAAAACCAAUUAUGCACCCUCCUGGUGAUCGAUAAGGUAUCGAGGUGGAGGAAUUUGACCUGUUCGAUCAAGGGAAGGAAGAAUGGCUGCCGGGUCAGCUGCUGCUAUGAUUGGGGCAAACUUGAGGUUUGGCAUCGGGGCUCCAUAUAACGUAACCUCAAAUGCCACGAAAGUAUUUCAGUGCCAUCCUGGAGGCAUAACUGAAGCUACAGUUAUAUUUAGUCUUGGGGCCCUCGGAAUGGGCGCCAAUGUCAUUCUGAUGGCUUUAAUAUUAGCCAAACGUCAUCUCCGAAGAUGGUCCCAAGGGCUACUAUUUCAUCAGGCAAUGGUGGACUGCGCAAGGGCAGCCAUUUUAUUGCCUCUUGGGUUGAGCAUACUGAAUUGCCAGCCCGUUAACAAGUGUUCGCUUGUCGAGACCGCAUUUCUAUUACUGGUCACUGUCUCAACGGUGAAUAUGCUUACCACCGUCUUAAACGAUAGUCCCGUAUUUCCAGAAAGUGAGGAAGAAGCCGAUCUCACCGCUCCCCUCCUCAUGGACUCGCCUCAGUGUGUAUUAUUUGGAACGUUCAUGAUAUGGUUUGCCAGCAUAACGAUUAAUCUCGGACCAACGUUUCUAAGCGGAGCCCUAGCCGCAAACACUGAGACCGGACACAACGCCCCAAGCUGUCCCCUGGUUCACGGCCCAUUCCGUCAUUACAUACUAAACGUUUUAUGGAUCGUGAUAAAUGUUAUCUGUGUGCUGCUCACUCUAUUUCAUUUACGGAAAUUGCACCGAGAUUUGACCAAAGCAAACGUGGAAGCGGUUCGCGUGGCUGGAUUAGUUACAACGUUAGUUAGCGUUACUGGAGGGCACGGUGGAUCGAACGGACUGAUCGAUAGUAAUGAUAGAAGAAACUCGCGAAAUGGAACAACACCCAAAAGAGGCGGUGCCAUAGAGGAACAUCGCAGGAUGAGAAAUUAUCUACGGAGAAUGGAACGCGAAGGAGUUCAAAGAGUGAAAAUGUUCCUGAUCAUAACGGCAGCGUACGUUAUUUUUUGGGGACCAUUAUUCUUCGUUACACUCGUGCACCAUCCUGUCAUUGGAAACGCAACGGGAUACGAGGUGACGCUGCACAUCGCUCACGUUCACGCGUUCAUAAACCCGGCAUUAUUCCUGGCGUUACAUCGAGGUUUACGUCAAGGCAUGUCUGACGUGUGUUGCGGAUGCUGCGAGAGCCUGGCUCGGUGGAUAUUGGGAUCAACGGUAAACAGUCCUAUACAAUCCGUGCAACCGCCGAGCUACGAACCGCCCCUACGUCUACCCUCACCCCCAGAUCCUCCGCUGGCUCUUUCUGCAGCAAACACCUGCGACCUGACAGACGUCGCUCUUUUGAAACCGCCUUUGCCCCCGGUUACCAAACACUUACUCAUGGAUGACUUGAUCGCGGCACCACCAGACCCCUGGAUCUUACCACCAAGACCUAAAAGCACAACGAGUCUGUACCAAGAAGAGAUAUCUCGUAGGCCUAGUUUACUGUUGCCACCUCCGCCCGAAUUGGGUGACUUAUCGCCGAUAAGCCCUGCGAGUAGCGACCUACCCAGCGAAUAGAUCCUUCACGCAGAUCUUUUCGUGGAUACACACCACAGAGCAGGGUGAAUCCGUGUGUUUUGUACUAGAAUUUCGUCAAGACAAAGUUUGUCUUUUCAGUUCAACACGAGUGACUACAAUUUUGGACAAAUGACAAAAGUUAUGGGACAAAGAAUGUUUUAAGAAUGGCUUAUGCUGCUGGCUAAAACCUAAUUGAUGAGCUGAUUACAGACUUCCAAGCUGAUCCAUCUCGAUUGUCUGAGCAACAGUGACAAAGAGUAGUUUCAGUAGCAAUUUU
rnacentral:misc_RNA from 1 species